rnacentral:rRNA from 1 species
CGCAUCUGUGCAUGCAGCAUAUCAAUAAGCGGAGGAAAAGGAACUAACAAGGAUUCCCCUUAGUAACGGCGAGUGAAGCGGGAAGAGCUCAAAUUUGAAAUCUUCAAGGUUUUACCUUGACGAAUUGUAGUUUAAAGAAGUGUUUUCUGCUUGAGGUUUUGGUAAAAGUUCUUUGGAAUAGGACAUCAUAGAGGGUGAGAAUCCCGUAUUUGACCAUUAUUUUCAGCUUUGUGAUACACUUUCAAAGAGUCGGAUUGUUUGGGAAUGCAGUCCAAAAUGGGUGGUAAAUUUCAUCUAAAGCUAAAUAUUGGCGAGAGACCGAUAGCGAACAAGUACCGUGAGGGAAAGAUGAAAAGAACUUUGAAAAGAGAGUUAAACAGUACGUGAAAUUGUCAAAAGGGAAGCGUUUGACACCAGUGUUGUUUUCUCGAAAAUCAAUUAAAGAACUGUUUAUGCUAAGCUGUUUAGACUUUAUCAGCUAACUGUUAAGUUUUGAGCUUUUCUUUAAUGCACUUUUCAGUUAACAAGUCAACAUCAAUUUCUUCUGCUGUAAAAAAGCUUGAGGAAGGUGGCUUGAGAUUCGUCUUAAGUGUUUAUAGCCUCUUGCCUAUGCAGUCGGAGAGAUUGAGGUCUGCAGCGUAGAUCCUUCGGGGCUAAAUGCAUUUGUGCUAAGUUAUAGCAUUUUAUAGACAACUUGUUGACUAUGAUUUGUCUUGUAGCUUACUCGCUUAUGUUAUUUUACCUACGCUUAGGAUGUUGAUAGUCACAGCGUGUAC